AUCGAACGCUGGCGGCAGGCCUAACACAUGCAAGUCGAACGGUAACAGGAAGCAGCUUGCUGCUUCGCUGACGAGUGGCGGACGGGUGAGUAAUGUCUGGGAAACUGCCCGAUGGAGGGGGAUAACUACUGGAAACGGUAGCUAAUACCGCAUAACGUCGCAAGGCCAAAGAGGGGGACCUUCGGGCCUCUUGCCAUCGGAUGUGCCCAGAUGGGAUUAGCUUGUUGGUGAGGUAACGGCUCACCAAGGCGACGAUCCCUAGCUGGUCUGAGAGGAUGACCAGCCACACUGGAACUGAGACACGGUCCAGACUCCUACGGGAGGCAGCAGUGGGGAAUAUUGCACAAUGGGCGCAAGCCUGAUGCAGCCAUGCCGCGUGUAUGAAGAAGGCCUUCGGGUUGUAAAGUACUUUCAGCGGGGAGGAAGGGGAUGUGGUUAAUAACCGCAUUCAUUGACGUUACCCGCAGAAGAAGCACCGGCUAACUCCGUGCCAGCCGCCGCCGUAAUAC
rnacentral:rRNA from 1 species